rnacentral:rRNA from 1 species
UCGAGAAUUUUUCACAAUGGGCGCAAGCCUGAUGGAGCGACGCCGCGUGGGGGAUGAAUGGCUUCGGCCCGUAAACCCCUGUCAUUUGCGAUCAACCGUUAUUAUUUAAAAGAUGAUAACCUGAUAGUAGCGAAAGAGGAAGGGACGGCUAACUCUGUGCCAGCAGCCGCGGUAAUACAGAGGUCCCAAGCGUUGUUCGGAUUUACUGGGCGUAAAGGGUGCGUAGGUGGCGGUGUAAGUCGGAUGUGAAAUCUCCGAGCUCAACUCGGAAACUGCACUGGAAACUACAUUGCUCGAGGGUUGGAGGGGGGACUGGAAUACUUGGUGUAGCAGUGAAAUGCGUAGAUAUCAAGUGGAACACCAGUGGCGAAGGCGAGUCCCUGGACAACUCCUGACUCUGAGGCACGAAAGCUAGGGGAGCAAACAG